GACGAACGCUGGCGGCGUGCUUAACACAUGCAAGUCGAGCGGUAAGGCCCUUUCGGGGGUACGACGAGCGGCGAACGGGUGAGUAACACGUGGGUGACCUGCCCUCAGUUCUGGGAUAAGCCUCGGGAAACCGGGUCUAAUACUGGAUAUGACCUCAUGACGCAUGUUGUGGGGUGGAAAGCCUUGUGCGACUGAGGAUGGGCCCGCGGCCUAUCAGCUUGUUGGUGGGGUGAUGGCCUACCAAGGCGACGACGGGUAGCCGGCCUGAGAGGGCGACCGGCCACACUGGGGACUGAGACACGGCCCAGACUCCUACGGGAGGCAGCAGGUGGGGAAUCUUGCGCAAAUGGGCGAAAGCCUGACGCAGCGACGCCGCGUGAGGGAUGACGGCC
rnacentral:rRNA from 1 species